UACGAAGGGGGCUAGCGUUGUUCGGAAUUACUGGGCGUAAAGCGCACGCAGGCGGAUUGAUAAGUCGGGGGUGAAAUCCUGGAGCUCAACUCCAGAACUGCCUUCGAUACUGAGGAUCUCGAGUCCGGGAGAGGUGAGUGGAACUGCGAGUGUAGAGGUGAAAUUCGUAGAUAUUCGCAAGAACACCAGUGGCGAAGGCGGCUCACUGGCCCGGUACUGACGCUGAGGUGCGAAAGCGUGGGGAGCAAACAGG
rnacentral:rRNA from 1 species